rnacentral:rRNA from 1 species
AUGGAAGCAGCGAUAGAUGCUGAUGAUGAUGAGGAGACAGAUGCGGAUGAAUCAGAGGAGGAGGACAAGGAUGAGGAUGACAAUGAAGAAGAUGCAGACGAGGAGGAGGAUGAGGAGGAAGAGGAGGAGGAGGAGAAGGAGGAGGAGGAGGAGGACAAACAAGAAGAGGACAAAGGAGAGGAGGAGGACAAGGAAGAAGAUAGUGAUGCAGAGGAGGAGGAAGAAGAAGGUGAGGCCAGAGAGGGGGACGGGGACAAAGGGGCAGCAGUUGAUGGCAGUGAGAGGGGAGAAGACAAAGGCGCAGAAGCUGAUGGCAGUGAGAGGGAAGAAUACGAGGAUGAAGAAGACGAGGAUGAUUAUGGCAUCACAAAGGAGCAGAUGAUGGAGCUACCAGGGAGGCAUUAUUGGGUCUUUAGUGUCAACUUGAGGGACAGACGCUUCAAAGUUCUUGAUUCAAGCAGGACGCUGGACAACAUUGAGCUGAUGAACAACACCUCUACCAUUGCGGGGGCAGUACGCCAGCUAUGGAGGAAGCAUUACCCAAAGUUCAGCAUCGAGCACUUCUAG